rnacentral:rRNA from 1 species
AGAGUUUGAUCCUGGCUCAGAGUGAACGCUGGCGGCAGGCCUAACACAUGCAAGUCGAGCGGCAGCGCGGGGGCAACCCUGGCGGCGAGCGGCGGACGGGUGAGGAACACAUCGGAAUCUACCUUGUCGUGGGGGAUAACGUAGGGAAACUUACGCUAAUACCGCAUACGACCUACGGGUGAAAGCGGCGGACCGCAAGGCGUCGCGCGAUUGGAUGAGCCGAUGUCCGAUUAGCUAGUUGGCGGGGUAAAGGCCCACCAAGGCGACGAUCGGUAGGGGACCUGAGAGGGUGGCCCCCCACAAUGGAACUGAAGCACGGUCCAUACACCUACGGGUGGCAGCAGUAGGGAAUAUUGCACAAUGGGCGAAAGCCUGAUGCAGCAACGCCGCGUGCGCGAUGAAGGUCUUCGGAUCGUAAAGCGCUUUUCUGAGAGAUGAGAAAGGACAGUAUCUCAGGAAUAAGUCUCGGCUAACUACGUGCCAGCAGCCGCGGUAAAACGUAGGAGGCGAGCGUUAUCCGGAUUCACUGGGCGUAAAGCGCGUGCAGGUGGUUCGGUAAGUUGGGCGUGAAAUCUCCCGGCUCAACUGGGAGAGGUCGUUCAAUACUACCGGACUUGAGAGCAGAAGAGGAAGAUGGAAUUCCCGGUGUAGUGGUGAAAUGCGUAGAUAUCGGGAGGAACACCAGUGGCGAAGGCGAUCUUCUGGUCUGUUUCUGACACUCAGACGCGACAGCUAGGGUAGUAAACGGGAUUAGAGACCCCGGUAAUCCUAGCCGUAAACGAUGUGAACUUGGCGUUGGUGGGUUAAACUCCAUCAGUGCCGAAGCAAACGCGAUAAGUUCACCGCCUGGGGACUACGGCCGCAAGGUUAAAACUCAAAGGAAUUGACGGGGGCCCGCACAAGCAGCGGAGCGUGUGGUUUAAUUCGAUGCUACACGAAGAACCUUACCCAGGCUUGACAUACAGGUGGUAGGGAUCCGAAAGGUGACCGACCCGCAAGGGAGCCUGAACAGGUGUUGCAUGGCUGUCGUCAGCUCGUGUCGUGAGAUGUUCGGUUAAGUCCGCUAACGAGCGCAACCCUCGCCGCGUGUUAUAUGUGUCACGCGGGACCGCCGGUAUUAAGCCGGAGGAAGGUGGGGAUGAUGUCAAGUCAGCAUGGCCUUUAUGCCUGGGGCUACACACACGCUACAAUGGGCAGUACAAUGGGUUGCCAAGCCGCGAGGUGGAGCCAAUCCCGCAAAACUGUCCUCAGUUCAGAUUGCAGGCUGCAACUCGCCUGCAUGAAGCCGGAGUUGCUAGUAAACGCGCGUCAGCUAUAGUGCGUUGAAUACGUUCUCGGGCCUUGUACACACCGCCCGU